rnacentral:rRNA from 1 species
UACGUAGGGUGCAAGCGUUAAUCGGAAUUACUGGGCGUAAAGCGUGCGCAGGCGGUUGUGCAAGACAGAUGUGAAAUCCCCGGGCUCAACCUGGGAAUUGCAUUUGUGACUGCACGGCUAGAGUGUGUCAGAGGGGGGUAGAAUUCCACGUGUAGCAGUGAAAUGCGUAGAGAUGUGGAGGAAUACCGAUGGCGUAGGCAGCCCCCUGGGAUAACACUGACGCUCAUGCACGAAAGCGUGGGGAGCAAACAGG